AUACUUUGGUAGAAUAUGUACUAAAAUUGGAAUGAUACAGAGAAAUUAAUAUGGUUCCUGCACAAAGAUGACAUGCCAAAUUCAUGAAGCUUUCCAUUUUAUA